AUCAUUAAUAAAAAAAUAUCAAAGAAUCAAAUUUCAUACCAAAUUAUAAAUAAAUUCAAUUACAAAAUAUUCAUGAAACAAGGUUACCAAAAGUAUCAUGGAUUUAAAUAUAUCUUAACAAAACUAAAGAAUACCAAUACUGCAAUACACUAUCCUAACCUAAAGCAAAGAGACACAAGUAUGCAAACAGAAGCACAAAACCAAAUAGCACCAGCGCCUCAACAAAGAGAUCCCUGACACCGCACCUGCACACAGACACAACAAAACUUAAGUACAAAAAUUGCAAAGAAGUGAAAAUGAGCAUAUGGUUAUAAUACAAAGCACCAGGUAGAGAAUUAUUUUCACAGUAUCAUAUUCGCAUCAUUGUCAUUAUCAUUAAAUCCUCAUAAAAACACAAAAAACAAAGUUCAAUCCAUAAAAACAAGAACAAUAUAUAAGUCU
rnacentral:lncRNA from 1 species